rnacentral:rRNA from 1 species
AAGCUCGUAGUUGAAUUUCGGGAUCAAUAUUUCGGUCAUGCCGUUGGUAUGCACUGUUAUCAUUGAUUUCUCACCUUCUAAAGAACCGUAAUGCCAUUAAUUUGGUGUUACGGGGAAUUAGGACUGUUACCUUGAAAAAAUUAGAGUGUUUAAAGCAGGCUCACGCUUGAAUACGUUAGCAUGGAAUAAUGAAAUAGGACAUCCGAUUCUAUUUUGUUGGUUUCUAGGAUCACCGUAAUGAUUAAUAGGGAUAGUUGGG